CGUCGCGUGGCCGACGGCGACGCCGUGUUCAGCCCCCGGCUGGCCGGGUUCGUGCUCGACGCGUUCGCCGCGCGUCCCGACGCCC
rnacentral:tRNA from 1 species